GCGCCUCUCUUUUCCCCGCGCAGCACACGCAGGAAGACUGCUUCCUCGCCACGUGACGCUGAUAUUCGCAACGCUAUUUUGGGAACACCGCGACUCGACGCAACCAACCCUCGCCUGUUUGUACGGAGAGGCACGUAUUUUGAUUAAGAGAAGUGAACGCGCUUCAACUACCAAAAAGGCAAGUGACACUCAAUUACCUACUAUUUUGUUAAGCAUUAGUGUUUUAUAAAUUAGUAUGCAUGGUAGGUUUUUGUUUUCGAAAGUUGUGCUAUGCUUAUUAAUCCUAGUAGUGUGUAGCCAUCCAUGAACCCUUGCUAGGAUUUUUAGUUGCCUAGCAAUAACAAAGUGCCACUGCUGUUUUGAUCUAAUUUGGAUUGUGAGUAUUGGGAAUUAAAAUUAACAACUUUAAAGAAUCACCUGGGUGGAUUGUUUGUGUGGUGGGCGGCUGCUCAGGGCUCCGACCCUGGAGUAACCAGUGGCAGGUGGGUGCCUGAGAGUGCGCAGUUGAAUAGUGGUUGCCCUAGACUGCACCUCUGGUUUUCACCAGGGGAUCGUGCGGGGGUUUAUUAUCUGUAAUGGUUCUAAGCCUGUGAGUUUCACUUGUGGAUGGCCACCCAGGAUUAAAGAGAUUACUAUGUCGUCCAUGUUUUAGAUAGCUUCCAGUGCAGCCUUAUGGUAUUAUGGGCUCUGCCGGGAUUAAGUAAGUUGUGAGGCCAAACUUGUUGCUAGACAUGAUGAUGGGGCUUGCAACCCAACGGGAACGGGUCUAGCUAGUUAUGGUCGAAGCCUCCUUCUGAAAGAUCUUGUCUCAUUUCUUCUCUUGGGAAGGGUGGGUCGUAAGGUGAAAGUGCACAACCUCUCGAGAGUAAACCUAAGAUCUUAGCCGUGUCCCCGGUUACGGACAAUUUGAGCUUUCUAGGCGGGGAAUGUACGGAAGAAUCUCAUCACCUUUUCUGAAUGAAUUAAAAUUUGAGUAGCAACUGUCGGAUAGUACAUGGGAGAUGUAACCAUGAUACUGUUUAUGACAACAUUACAAGUUUUACAAAAGUUUUGUUUUAAAAUAAAACGUAGGAUAAAAUUGGCUUUAUGCAAAUUUGCCUAAACUACACUUGCCAAAUAUCAUGUAGAUAGUCAUGCCCAAAACAGCCACAAUAUAAGUGUCAUUUGCCAGUACAUCAUUGUACUGACCUCCAUUCGUGGGGCUGCAUAUUCAAACGUGCAGGAUUUUCUGAGGAGAAGUACGUGAUAGGAUCUCGAGUCUACAUUCCAACAUGACUGCCUGUGGCACAUGAAGAUGAUGAAGGCUCAUUGCUGAUUUACUUUCCGCUGUGUUUAUUCUGAGCUAGUCCAUGUGACUAUGCAAUUUGUAAGGUUUUACUUUACCCUCUGGAUCAAAGAUGUAGUAAUUUGAUACUAUUGCAAUGAUUACUAUAUUUUGUAA